rnacentral:rRNA from 1 species
UACGUAGGUGGCGAGCGUUAUCCGGAAUGAUUGGGCGUAAAGGGUGCGUAGGCGGCCUGCUAAGUCUGGAGUGAAAGGUACCGGCUCAACCGGUACAGGCUCUGGAAACUGGCGGGCUAGAGAGCAGGAGAGGGCGGUGGAACUCCAUGUGUAGCGGUAAAAUGCGUAGAUAUAUGGAAGAACACCAGUGGCGAAGGCGGCAUACCGGCUCCACACUGACGCUGAGGCACGAAAGCGUGGGUAUCGAACAGG